UGGCGGACGGGUGAGUAUCGCGUAGGGAUUUAUCGUUGGGUGGGGGAUAACCUUGGGAAACUGGGGCUAAUACCGCAUGACGCCUGUGGGCCAAAGCCUGUGAGGGUGCCUGAUGAGGAGCCUGCGUCCGAUUAGUUAGUUGGUGGGGUAAAGGCUUACCAAGGCAGCGAUCGGUAGCUGGUCUGAGAGGAUGAUCAGCCACACUGGGACUGAGACACGGCCCAG
rnacentral:rRNA from 1 species